rnacentral:lncRNA from 10 species
ACUGGCAACUCUUGAGAAUCUCAUAAUUUUCCAUAAAAUCUAUAAAUAAGUAUUCCUCUUUCAAAAGGAGUACAGGGCCCCCUCUGCUGGGAUCCAGGAACAAGCUAGCAAGGCCUCCAGACAGGGGAUUUCCACUGAUCCUUUGUCACUACUGAGCCCAAAAGUGCACGGGCAGCAAGUUACCAAAUCGCCUUCCACAAGGUCUACAAACCCAUCUGGGACACAUGGCAGGGACCAACACGCUUCUAGACUUCCCAUGUUCCAAGUCCACUUCUGCCGGCAGAAUAGAAACCUCGUCAGUUAUCACAACUCAGGGAGGACAAAUGGAUUCCUGAGGUGCAGGGCAAUCAACAGAUGAGAUCCAAGAGUCAGAACCCUGGAAUGGACCACCAGAACUUUCCCAUGGAGCCCCAGGACUUCUUCCCCCAAUUCCUGCUGUUUCUCCUCCUCCCUGUAGCAGGCUUCUUAAAGCAGGAUGAAAAAGCCUCACAGCUUGCGGUGUUGACAGUAUUCUAGAAGACCCUACACCCCUGUGGCUUCUCGAUGACUAAUGUGGAGCCAGCAUCUGUCAGCACAAACUCAGAGUGAUUACCCAGAAAUAGGUAUCCUUCUAAUUAAAAUAUCUGACCAUGUCCCCAUCAGCCACUUGCCUCAUUUGGGACACCACCAACCAUCCUGCACGGCUGCCCAUGUUUCUGUUUCUCCAGCCCAAGCAUGCAGUUUCAGUAGGUCCUUCAGAGGCUGCCUGAAAGGAGCUCCUGAAUUUCACAGACAAAUCCAGACCCCUGUGUGGAAAGCCUGCGGUGGUGUUCUCCGUCUUCCCACAGGACUCCCUGCAGCCAGGAAUUCUAGGGGAGCACCUGACGCGAGGUAUACGCCCAGAUGGCCUGAAGUAACUGAAGAAUCACAAAAGAAGUGAAAAUGUCCUGCCCCGCCUUAACUGAUGACAUUCCACCACAAAGGAAGUGUCAAUGGCUGGUCCUUGCCUUAACUGAUGACAUUCCACCGCAAAAGAAGUGAAAAUGGCCGGUCCUUGCCUUAACUGAUGACAUUACACCACAAAAGAAGUGAAAAUGGCCGGUCCUUGCCUUAAGUGAUGGCAUUACCUUGUGAAAGUCCUUUUCCUGGCUCAUUCUGGCUCAAAAUCACCCCCACUGAGCACCUUGUGACCCCCACUCCUGCCCGCCAGGGAACAAUCCCCCUUUGACUGUAAUUUUCCUUUACCUACCCAAAUCUUAUAAAAUGGCCCCACCCCUAUCUCCCUUUGCUGACUCUCUUUUUGGACUCAGCCUGCCUGCAUCCAGGUGAUUAAAAGCUUUUAUUGCUCACACA